GAUGAACGCUAGCGAUAGGCUUAACACAUGCAAGUCGAGGGGCAGCAUGGUCUUAGCUUGCUAAGGCUGAUGGCGACCGGCGCACGGGUGCGUAACGCGUAUGCAACUUGCCUCACAGAGGGGGAUAACCCGUCGAAAGACGGACUAAUACCGCGUACACUCUAUGUUGGGCAUCCAAUGUAGAGGAAAUGAAAUUCGCUGUGAGAUAGGCAUGCGUCCCAUUAGCUAGUUGGUGAGGUAACGGCUCACCAAGGCGACGAUGGGUAGGGGAACUGAGAGGUUGAACCCCCACGCUGGUACUGAGACACGGACCAGACUCCUACGGGAGGCAGCAGUGAGGAAUAUUGGUCAAUGGGCGAGGGCCUGAACCAGCCAAGUCGCGUGAAGGAUGACUGUCUUAUGGAUUGUAAACUUCUUUUAUACGGGAAUAACAAGAGUCACGUGUGGCUCCCUGCAUGUACCGGAUGAAUAAGCAUCGGCUAACUCCGUG
rnacentral:rRNA from 1 species